rnacentral:rRNA from 1 species
GACGAACGCUGGCGGCGUGCUUAACACAUGCAAGUCGAACGAUGAUGCCCAGCUUGCUGGGUGGAUUAGUGGCGAACGGGUGAGUAACACGUGAGUAACCUGCCCCUGACUCUGGGAUAAGCGUUGGAAACGACGUCUAAUACUGGAUAUGACUGCCGGCCGCAUGGUCUGGUGGUGGAAAGAUUUUUUGGUUGGGGGUGGCCUCGCGGCCUAUCAGCUUGUUGGUGAGGUAAUGGCUCACCAAGGCGACGACGGGUAGCCGGCCUGAGAGGGGGACCGGCCACACUGGGACUGAGACACGGCCCAGACGCCUACGGGAGGCAGCAGUGGGGAAUAUUGCACAAUGGGCGAAAGCCUGAUGCAGCAACGCCGCGUGAGGGAUGACGGCCUUCGGGUUGUAAACCUCUUUUAGUAGGGAAGAAGCGAAAGUGACGGUACCUGCAGAAAAAGCACCGGCUAACUACGUGCCAGCCGCCGCCGUAACAC